ACUCACAUCUGUUAUAGCCCCUGAUUUACUUGCUUAUUUUGUUAACUGAACAGCCCCAGAAACAGAAAUCUUAAGUAUUUCGCUUGUUCUUUCCCAUCACCCAUUCAAUUUUAUUUGUUUGUUUCAGACCAGUUAGUAAAACUCAACACAGUAUUUCCAGUUGUGCAGUACUGUAUUCCUAUGGGGAGAAAGUUGGCAUACAAAUAGACAGCUCAGAGUGUGGAAAUUACAACUAGCAGGAGCAAUAUGGAACAAUAAUCCCCAGAAUUGAUAAUAGGACUGCAACCACCAAGAUAUACCAGCUGCCUUAUUUGCGAACCUGUCAAUACUUCCAAGAGGAACAUCAUGGGGGUGGAGAGACUCAUUAGUCCCUGGGCUGGAGAAGGAGUCUAUGUCCAACACCCAACUGGUUCCAGUAGAAAGAAAGAGAAGGAAUACUGACUAUAUUCCACCUCCAGUUUGACAACAUCUGCCCCUGGCUCUGUGACUCCAUGAAAUAACCAGAUGUU
rnacentral:lncRNA from 1 species